GUUGUUGGGUAGGGGAGCGUUCUGUAAGCCGUCGAAGGUGUGCUGUGAGGCAUGCUGGAGGUAUCAGAAGUGCGAAUGCUGACAUAAGUAACGAUAAAGCGGGUGAAAAGCCCGCUCGCCGGAAGACCAAGGGUUCCUGUUCAACGUUAAUCGGAGCAGGGUGAGUCGACCCCUAAGGCGAGGCCGAAAGGCGUAGUCGAUGGGAAACAGGUUAAUAUUCCUGUACUCGGUGUUACUGCGAAGGGGGGACGGAGAAGGCUAUAUCAGCCGGGCGACGGUUGUCCCGGUUUAAGCGUGUAGGCGGAGGGUCCAGGUAAAUCCGGACGCUUGUUAACGCUGAGGCGUGACGACGAGGCACUACGGUGCUGAAGUGAUAAAUGCCCAGCUUCCAGGAAAAGCCUCUAAGCAUCAGGUAACACAGAAUCGUACCCCAAACCGACACAGGUGGUCAGGUAGAGAAUACCAAGGCGCUUGAGAGAACUCGGGUGAAGGAACUAGGCAAAAUGGUGCCGUAACUUCGGGAGAAGGCACGCUGGCGCGUAGGUGGAGGGACUUGCUCCCCGAGCCGAAGCCAGUCGAAGAUACCAGCUGGCUGCAACUGUUUAUUAAAAACACAGCACUGUGCAAACACGAAAGUGGACGUAUACGGUGUGACGCCUGCCCGGUGCCGGAAGGUUAAUUGAUGGGGUUAUCCG
rnacentral:rRNA from 1 species